AAUCAACGCUGGCGGCGUGCCUAACACAUGCAAGUCGCACGAGAAAGUGGAGCAAUCCAUGAGUACAGUGGCGCACGGGUGAGUAACACGUGAAUGAUCUACCUCCGAGUGGGGAAUAACCUAGAGAAAUCUGGGCUAAUACCGCAUAACACUUACGAGUCAAAGCAGCAAUGCGCUUGGAGAGGAGUUCGCGGCCGAUUAGUUAGUUGGCAGGGUAAUGGCCUACCAAGACGAUGAUCGGUAUCCGGCCUGAGAGGGCGCACGGACACACUGGAACUGAAACACGGUCCAGACUCCUACGGGAGGCAGCAGUGGGGAAUUUUGCGCAAUGGGGGAAACCCUGACGCAGCAACGCCGCGUGGAGGAUGAAAUCCCUUGGGAUGUAAACUCCUUUCGAUGGGGAAGAUUAUGACGGUACCCAUAGAAGAAGCCCCGGCUAACUUCGUGCCAGCAGCCGCGGUAAUACGAGGGGGGCAAGCGUUGUUCGGAAUUAUUGGGCGUAAAGGGUGCGUAAGCGGUUUGACAAGUCUGAUGUGAAAUCUAUGGGCUCAACCCAUAGUCUGCAUCGGAAACUGUCGGGCUGGAGUAUGGGAGAGGUGAGUGGAAUUUCCGGUGUAGCGGUGAAAUGCGUAGAUAUCGGAAGGAACACCUGUGGCGAAAGCGGCUCACUGGACCAUUACUGACGCUGAUGCACGAAAGCUAGGGGAGCAAACAGGAUUAGAUACCCUGGUAGUCCUAGCCCUAAACGAUGAUUGCUUGAUGUGGCAGGUACCCAAUCCUGCCGUGUCGAAACUAACGCGAUAAGCAAUCCGCCUGGGGAGUACGGUCGCAAGGCUGAAACUCAAAAGAAUUGACGGGGGCCCGCACAAGCGGUGGAGCAUGUGGGUUAAUUUGACGCAACGCGAAGAACCUUACCUGGGCUCGAAAUGCACAAGAAUCCCGUAGAAAUAUCGGGGUCUAACAAUAGAACUGUGUAUAAGUGCUGCAU
rnacentral:rRNA from 1 species